GAAAUCCUCUGGUAACAGAUUGUUGAGAGCC
rnacentral:sRNA from 1 species